UACGUAGGGACCGAGCGUUGUCCGGAAUCAUUGGGCGUAAGGAGCGUGUAGGCGGCCACUUAAGUCCUGCGUGAAAUCUUGCGGCUCAACCGCAAGCGGUCGUGGGAAACUGGGUGGCUAGAGUGCGGGAGAGGAGAGUGGAAUUCCUGGUGUAGCGGUGGAAUGCGCAGAUAUCAGGAAGAACACCCGUGGCUAAGGCGGCUCUCUAGUACGGUACUGACGCUGAGACGCGAAAGCGUGGGGAGCGAACAGG
rnacentral:rRNA from 1 species